rnacentral:rRNA from 1 species
GAUGAACGCUGGCGGCGUGCCUAAUACAUGCAAGUCGAGCGAACGGACGAGAAGCUUGCUUCUCUGAUGUUAGCGGCGGACGGGUGAGUAACACGUGGAUAACCUACCUAUAAGACUGGGAUAACUUCGGGAAACCGGAGCUAAUACCGGAUAAUAUUUUGAACCGCAUGGUUCAAAAGUGAAAGACGGUCUUGCUGUCACUUAUAGAUGGAUCCGCGCUGCAUUAGCUAGUUGGUAAGGUAACGGCUUACCAAGGCAACGAUGCAUAGCCGACCUGAGAGGGUGAUCGGCCACACUGGAACUGAGACACGGUCCAGACUCCUACGGGAGGCAGCAGUAGGGAAGCUUCCGCAAUGGGGGAAAGCCUGACGGAGCAACGCCGCGUGAGUGAUGAAGGUCUUCGGAUCGUAAAACUCUGUUAUUAGGGAAGAACAUAUGUGUAAGUAACUGUGCACAUCUUGACGGUACCUAAUCAGAAAGCCACGGCUAACUACGUG